GUGGGGAAUAUUGCACAAUGGGCGAAAGCCUGAUGCAGCAACGCCGCGUGAGGGACGACGGCCUUCGGGUUGUAAACCUCUUUUAGUAGGGAAGAAGCGAAAGUGACGGUACCUGCAGAAAAAGCACCGGCUAACUACGUGCCAGCAGCCGCGGUAAUACGUAGGGUGCAAGCGUUAUCCGGAAUUAUUGGGCGUAAAGAGCUCGUAGGCGGUCUGUCGCGUCUGCUGUGAAAACUGGAGGCUCAACCUCCAGCCUGCAGUGGGUACGGGCAGACUAGAGUGCGGUAGUGGAGAUUGGAAUUCCUGGUGUAGCGGUGGAAUGCGCAGAUAUCAGGAGGAACACCGAUGGCGAAGGCAGAUCUCUGGGCCGUAACUGACGCUGAGGAGCGAAAGCGUGGGGAGCGAACAGGAUUAGAUACCCCGGUAGUCC
rnacentral:rRNA from 1 species